UGUCUCCGCAGCACAGAGGCCUCGGAGUCUAAGGAGGGAGGGCUGAGGGAGGACGGCCUAAUGCCCUGAGGCGAAGGGGAAGAUGGCAGGGUAGAGGGUGAGGUGCAGGGCCACCUGUCUUAGGGAGAUGUGGAACUGUACUUCUG